GACGAACGCUGGCGGCGUGCUUUAUACAUGCAAGUCGAACGAGGACCGGGUGCUUGCACCCGGAGCCGAGUGGCGAACGGGUGAGUAACACGUGACCAAUCUGCCCUUGGGAGAGGGACAACCUGGGGAAACCCGGGCUAAUACCGCAUGAUGUGCAGCCAUCGCAUGUUGGCUGCACCAAAGGGGGCCUCUACUUGUAAGCUCUCGCCCAGGGAGGAGGUCGCGGCGUAUCAGCUUGUUGGUGGGGUAACGGCCUACCAAGGCGACGACGCGUAGCGGGUCUGAGAGGACGAUCCGUCACAUUGGGACUGAGAUACGGCCCAGACUCCUACGGGAGGCAGCAGUAGGGAAUAUUGCGCAAUGGUCGAAAGACUGACGCAGCGACGCCGCGUGUGGGAGGAAGCCUUUCGGGGUGUAAACCACUGUCAGGUGGGAAGAAUCGCGCUCGUCCAAACAGGGCGGGCGCCUGACGGUACCAUCAGAGGAAGCGCCGGGCUAACUCCGUGCC
rnacentral:rRNA from 1 species